GCAGCAGCCGCGGUAAUACAGAGGGUGCGAGCGUUAAUCGGAUUUACUGGGCGUAAAGCGUGCGUAGGCGGCUUUUUAAGUCGGAUGUGAAAUCCCUGAGCUUAACUUAGGAAUUGCAUUCGAUACUGGGAAGCUAGAGUAUGGGAGAGGAUGGUAGAAUUCCAGGUGUAGCGGUGAAAUGCGUAGAGAUCUGGAGGAAUACCGAUGGCGAAGGCAGCCAUCUGGCCUAAUACUGACGCUGAGGUACGAAAGCAUGGGGAGCAAACAGGAUUAGAUACCCCCGUAGUCCCUGUCUCUUAUAA
rnacentral:rRNA from 1 species